rnacentral:misc_RNA from 1 species
GAUGAAGAACGUAGCGAAAUGCGAUACGUAAUGUGAAUUGCAGAAUUCAGUGAAUCAUCGAAUCUUUGAACGCAUAUUGCGCUCUCUGGUAUUCCGGAGAGCAUGCUUGUUUGAGUAUCAGUAAACACCUCAACUCCCUUUUCUUUUUUGAAAUUGGAGCUGGACUUGAGUGAUCCCAACGCUUUCUUCCAAGAAAGUGGCGGGUUGCUUGAAAUGCAGGUGCAGCUGAACUUUUCUCUGAGCUAUAAGCAUAUCUAUUUAGUCUGCCUAAAAAACAGCUUAUUACCUUUGCUGCAGCUAACAUAAAGGAGACUAGUUCUUGUGCUGACUGAUGCAGGAUUCACAGAGACAGCUUCGGCUGACUUUGUAAACUCGAUCUCAAAUCAAGUAAGACUACCCGCUGAACUUAAGCAUAUCAAUAAGCGGAGGA